UCUCAAAGAUUAAGCCAUGCAUGUCUCAGUACAAGCCAAAUUAAGGUGAAACCGCGAAAGGCUCAUUAAAUCAGUUAUGGUUCCUUAGAUCGUACACACAUUUACUUGGAUAACUGUGGUAAUUCUAGAGCUAAUACAUGCAAACAGAGCUCCGACCGGAGACGGAAGGAGCGCUUUUAUUAGAUCAAAACCAAUCGGUGGCGGCUCGCCGUCAUCGUACAACUUGGUGACUCUGAAUAACUUUACGCUGAUCGCACGGUCUCGCACCGGCGACGCAUCUUUCAAAUGUCUGCCUUAUCAACUGUCGAUGGUAGGUUCUGCGCCUACCAUGGUUGUAACGGGUAACGGGGAAUCAGGGUUCGAUUCCGGAGAGGGAGCCUGAGAAACGGCUACCACAUCCAAGGAAGGCAGCAGGCGCGCAAAUUACCCACUCCCGGCACGGGGAGGUAGUGACGAAAAAUAACGAUACGGGACUCAUCCGAGGCCCCGUAAUCGGAAUGAGUACACUCUAAACCCUUUAACGAGGAUCAAUUGGAGGGCAAGUCUGGUGCCAGCAGCCGCGGUAAUUCCAGCUCCAAUAGCGUAUAUUAAAGUUGUUGCGGUUAAAAAGCUCGUAGUCGAAUCUGUGUCCCGCGCCGCCGGUUCAUCGUUCGCGGUGUCAACUGGCGUGCCGCGGGACGUCCUGCCGGUGGGCUUAGCCCGCGAGGGCGGCCCAACUCAAUCCCGCCGCGGUGCUCUUCAUUGAGUGUCGAGGUGGGCCGGCACGUUUACUUUGAACAAAUUAGAGUGCUUAAAGCAGGCUAAAACUUUGCCUGAAUACGUGUGCAUGGAAUAAUGGAAUAGGACCUCGGUUCUAUUUUGUUGGUUUUCGGAACCCCGAGGUAAUGAUUAAUAGGAACGGAUGGGGGCAUUCGUAUUGCGACGUUAGAGGUGAAAUUCUUGGAUCGUCGCAAGACGGA
rnacentral:rRNA from 1 species